AUUGAACGCUGGCGGCAUGCCUUACACAUGCAAGUCGAACGGUAACAGAUCUUCGGAUGCUGACGAGUGGCGAACGGGUGAGUAAUACAUCGGAACGUGCCUAGUAGUGGGGGAUAACUACUCGAAAGAGUGGCUAAUACCGCACGAGAUCUACGGAUGAAAGCAGGGGAUCGCAAGACCUUGUGCUACUAGAGCGGCCGAUGGCAGAUUAGGUAGUUGGUGGGAUAAAAGCUUACCAAGCCGACGAUCUGUAGCUGGUCUGAGAGGACGAUCAGCCACACUGGGACUGAGACACGGCCCAGACUCCUACGGGAGGCAGCAGUGGGGAAUUUUGGACAAUGGGCGCAAGCCUGUUCCAGCAAUGCCGCGUGCAGGAUGAAGGCCUUCGGGUUGUAAACUGCUUUUGUACGGAACGAAAAGCCCUGGGUUAAUACCCUGGGGUCAUGACGGUACCGUAAGAAUAAGCACCGGCUAACUACGUGCCAGCCGCCGCCGUAAGAC
rnacentral:rRNA from 1 species